AUAGAUCCUGAAACCGUAUGCUUACAAAAAGUAGGAGCCCGCAAGGGUGACUGCGUACCUUUUGUAUAAUGGGUCAGCGACUUACAUUCAGUGGCAAGGUUAACCGAAUAGGGAAGCCGUAGAGAAAUCGAGUCCGAAUAGGGCGAAUUAGUCGCUGGGUGUAGACCCGAAACCAAGUGAUCUAUCCAUGGGCAGGAUGAAGGUGCCGUAACAGGUACUGGAGGUCCGAACCGACUAAUGUUGCAAAAUUAGCGGAUGACCUGUGGAUAGGGGUGAAAGGCUAAACAAACUUGGAAAUAGCUGGUUCUCUCCGAAAACUAUUUAGGUAGUGCCUCAAGUAUUACCUGCGGGGGUAGAGCACUGUUUUGGCUAGGGGGUCAUGGCGACUUACCAAACCAAGGCAAACUCCGAAUACCGCAGAGUACAGCUUGGGAGACAGAGCACCGGGUGCUAACGUCCGGACUCAAGAGGGAAACAACCCAGACCGCCAGCUAAGGUCCCUAAAAUUGGCUAAGUGGGAAACGAAGUGGGAAGGCUAAAACAGUCAGGAUGUUGGCUUAGAAGCAGCCAUCAUUUAAAGAAAGCGUAAUAGCUCACUGAUCGAGUCGUCCUGCGCGGAAGAUGUAACGGGGCUAAGCCAGUUACCGAAGCUGCGGAUUUGCAAUUUAUUGCAAGUGGUAGGAGAGCGUUCUGUAAGCCUGUGAAGGUGCGUUGUAAAGCGUGCUGGAGGUAUCAGAAGUGCGAAUGCUGACAUGAGUAGCGUUAAAGGGGGUGAAAAGCCCCCUCGCCGUAAGCGCAAGGUUUUCUACGCAACGUUCAUCGGCGUAGAGUGAGUCGGCCCCUAAGGCGAGGCAGAGAUGCGUAGUUGAUGGGAAACAGGUCAAUAUUCCUGUACCGAUGUGUAGUGCGAUGUGGGGACGGAGAAGGUUAGCUCAGCAGACUGUUGGAUAUGUCUGUUCAAGCCUGUAGUCGUGCCUGGUAGGUAAAUCCGCCGGGCUUAGAUGAGGGGUGAUAACGAGGAAGCUUGCUUCCGAAGUGAGUGAUACCCUGCUUCCAGGAAAAGCCACUAAGCUUCAGCUACACACGACCGUACCGCAAACCGACACUGGUGCGCGAGAUGAGUAUUCUAAGGCGCUUGAGAGAACUCAGGAGAAGGAACUCGGCAAAUUGACACCGUAACUUCGGAAGAAGGUGUGCCUUUAGUAUGUGAACCUGAACAAGGGGAGCAGAAUGAGGCCUCAGAGAAUCGGUGGCUGCGACUGUUUAAUAAAAACACAGCACUCUGCAAACACGAAAGUGGACGUAUAGGGUGUGACGCCUGCCCGGUGCUGGAAGAUUAAAUGAUGGGGUGCAAGCUCUUGAUUGAAGUCCCAGUAAACGGCGGCCGUAACUAUAACGGUCCUAAGGUAGCGAAAUUCCUUGUCGGGUAAGUUCCGACCUGCACGAAUGGCGUAACGAUGGCCACACUGUCUCCUCCUGAGACUCAGCGAAGUUGAAAUGUUUGUGAUGAUGCAAUCUCCCCGCGGAAAGACGGAAAGACCCCAUGAACCUUUACUGUAGCUUUGUAUUGGACUUUGAACAGAUCUGUGUAGGAUAGGUGGGAGGCUUUGAAGCGUGGUCGCUAGACUGCGUGGAGCCAACGUUGAAAUACCACCCUGGUGUGUUUGAGGUUCUAACCUAGGUCCCUUAUCGGGAUCGGGGACAGUGCAUGGUAGGCAGUUUGACUGGGGCGGUCUCCUCCCAAAGCGUAACGGAGGAGUUCGAAGGUACGCUAGGUACGGUCGGACAUCGUGCUAAUAGUGCAAUGGCAUAAGCGUGCUUAACUGCGAGACUGACAAGUCGAGCAGAUACGAAAGUAGGACAUAGUGAUCCGGUGGUUCUGUAUGGAAGGGCCAUCGCUCAACGGAUAAAAGGUACUCUGGGGAUAACAGGCUGAUACCGCCCAAGAGUUCAUAUCGACGGCGGUGUUUGGCACCUCGAUGUCGGCUCAUCUCAUCCUGGGGCUGUAGCCGGUCCCAAGGGUAUGGCUGUUCGCCAUUUAAAGAGGUACGUGAGCUGGGUUUAAAACGUCGUGAGACAGUUUGGUCCCUAUCUUCCGUGGGCGCUG
rnacentral:rRNA from 1 species